AACUCUAUAGGGACGACUUUUGGUCUCUAAAAGUUGAUCUAUGGGGACAACACCAAUAGGGACCACCUUAAUAACCUGUAGGGAGGGGCCUAUAGGAACAAAAGAUGUGGAUACCAUAUAUCGUUCCUAUAGGUUAAAAAUACUUAUAGGGACGAUAAGUCGUCCCUAAAAGUUUAAAAAAUUUGGUUUCCACAGGUGUUUUUCCUUGUAGUGGACCCACAUAAAUAACCCAUAUGACCAUGACCCGCAACGUGUUACCCGCUGAACCCGUGACCCGAUAACCGCGUGACCCGUAAACAAACCCGAUUAAUCCAACAUAGUUGCCUUCUAUUGCACCGUCGUUUCCCUCUAGUUCAGCGCAUCUCUCCUGUCCGUUGUGUCCAGUUGUCCUCUAAGUUCAUAUGAGUUGAGUUGGACAUGGUGAAGAUUCAUAUACUUGCAAAGGAUAAAAGUUGGAACUGUUGAAUGCGCUUCAGGUUAUAGUUAAGACACUUCGAAUGCUUUACAUAUACCAUCUUUUUUGCUUCUGUUUUGUUUUUUUUUCUCCACAAUUUAGUUGGUCUGAUUUCGCAUUUAGUUGAUUAGGUAAAAAUAUAUGCAGGUAGAUCGUAAUAUUUAUAUGGUAAAAAAAUUUUGAAUAUCAAUGGCCACUUGUUUAAAAAGUAUUUACACUUAUAAAAGAUUGUGACAUAGUUUGGUUAGUAUUAGAUAAUUCGACCAUGGUGUAUAACUUGUCAGUUUGGGGCUGAAUUGACCAAUAAAAUGUGUUUUUUUAUUUACAAAUGCACUCUAGCUGUUUGGUAAGAUGCCUCAGUAAACUGUAUGUUGUAGGCUUGUAGCAUCAUUAACAAAAGUGUUUGAUGAAUUGACCAAUAAAAUGUGUUUUUUUAUUUACAACCCUCUCUAUCACAUUCAUCUGGUUCCCUUUGGCACCACUCACUACAGAUACCUUCCAGUGCACCAUAGCUUGCCUUCUUCACUCAAAGUAUAAGUCUAGCCAGUCAAGUUCCUAUAAGAAAAAUGGUUAUUGUAGGUCGUCUAAGUUUGCAACAUGGUGGCAUACAACACAGGAAUGGUGAGACAAAGUUUGUGAAGGCAUCAUGGAGCCUAACUUGUUAGAUCCACUCUCACAAAAAACCUUGUAGAACUGCUAGCUGAGAAUAACCAACUUCUACCAUUGAAUGGUGAGACAAAGUUUGUGAAGGCAUCACUGAGGUUGUUGCAUUUUGUUUCAGAUGAUUCCAAAGGGGUUGCUCUCGACUUCGAUAAUGCAUGCAGCUAGCUGAAACCAUUCUAGAGGCGGUUUUCUACGGAUCGGGUUGCAAGGUUUGAAGAGGUCGGUUCGAGUUGCAAGUGGCAUGAAGCGGUCUGUUUGACAUAUUUGGAAUGCAAACUUUUUUGAGCUUCACAUGGAAAAUAUGUAUAUUUUCAAAUGGUAUACGUUUGUGUUUCAUUCGGAAAACAUGUUUUUUUAAUGGCAAGUCGGAAGACAUGUACCUUUAGGAAUCUUGUAUAAUAUUAGUUUUUAUUUUUUUGUUUGUUAUUUUUUAUUUUCAGCCAUAAAUAUUUGUGUAUUAAGAAUAUUUAUUGGGAAAUUAAUUAAAUUUCCCAGAAAUUUUACAGAAUUAAGAAAUA